AUUGAACGCUGGCGGCAUGCUUUACACAUGCAAGUCGAACGGCAGCGCGGGGCAACCUGGCGGCGAGUGGCGAACGGGUGAGUAAUAUAUCGGAACGUACCCAGAAGUGGGGGAUAACGUAGCGAAAGUUACGCUAAUACCGCAUACGAUCUACGGAUGAAAGUAGGGGACCGCAAGGCCUUAUGCUUUUGGAGCGGCCGAUAUCUGAUUAGCUAGUUGGUGAGGUAAAGGCUCACCAAGGCGACGAUCAGUAGCUGGUCUGAGAGGACGACCAGCCACACUGGAACUGAGACACGGUCCAGACUCCUACGGGAGGCAGCAGUGGGGAAUUUUGGACAAUGGGCGCAAGCCUGAUCCAGCAAUGCCGCGUGAGUGAAGAAGGCCUUCGGGUUGUAAAGCUCUUUUGUCAGGGAAGAAACGGUAGAGGCUAAUAUCCUUUGCUAAUGACGGUACCUGAAGAAUAGGCACCGGCUAACUACGU
rnacentral:rRNA from 1 species